rnacentral:rRNA from 1 species
AUUGAACGCUGGCGGCAGGCCUAACACAUGCAAGUCGAGCGGAUGCAGGGUGCUUGCUCGUGGAUUCGGCGGGUGACGGGCGGGUGAUUCCUAGGUAUAUGCCUGGCCGUUGGGUAUAGGGUCAGGACAUGGGCGCACAUACCCUAUUAGCGCGUACGGCGUACGUGGGGGAGCUGGGGACCUUAGGCUCUCAGGUGAUCCUAGGUCGGAUUAGCUAGUUGGCGGGGUAAAGGCCUACCAAGGCGACGAUCCGUAGCUGGUCUGAGAGGAUGAUCAGCCACACUGGAACUGAGACACGGUCCAGACUCCUACGGGAGGCAGCAGUGGGGAAUAUUGGACAAUGGGCGAAAGCCUGAUCCAGCCAUGCCGCGUGGGUGAAGAAGGUCUUCGGAUUGUAAAGCACUUUUAUUUGGGAGGAAGAGCAGUAAGUUAAUACCUUGCUGUUUUGACGGUACCCAAAGAAUAAGCACCGGCUAACUUCGUG